rnacentral:RNase_P_RNA from 1 species
AAAGUAGUCCAGGCGGCCGCGUUCCGACUCCGAUGCAAAUCGGAUCGGGAUGAGGAAAGUCCGAACUCCACAGGGCAGGGCGCUCCGUUCUGGGCUUACGGGACGGAGGGGGGGUGACCCUACGGCAAGUGCCACAGAAAUACACAGCCGAUGGUCCCGAUUCCGUUGGGACACAGGCGAAGGUGCAAUGGUGAGGUAAGAGCUCACCGGUCUGGCAGCGAUGUCAGAUGCGAGGUAAACCCCGCCCGGAGCAAGACCAAAUAUGUCCCGCUUGUCCAUCCCGAUGAAUGUCGAGAUGGUAGAGUAGCCCGCUCUAAUUCCCGACCUGAUCGGGAGCGUGGGACGGGUAGGUCGCGCUAGAUAAAUGGUCGCCAUCUCCGAUCAUUCGGAGAGACAGAAUUCGGCUUAUCGGACUGCUUUGGAU